AAACAGCCUUGAGCAUCCCUUGGGCCUGAGACUGACCGGCACCAAGGGUAUGGUUGCUGUGGAUUAUUGAGCAGUUGAGUUGCUCAGGAAGCCUGGCAAAGUGCUGGAACCCUCAGCCCUGAGCUACCAGAGCAAAGGCCCCUCAUCCCC
rnacentral:lncRNA from 12 species